rnacentral:rRNA from 1 species
AANAAAACGACUCUCGGCAACGGAUAUCUCGGCUCUCGCAUCGAUGAAGAACGUAGCGAAAUGCGAUACUUGGUGUGAAUUGCAGAAUCCCGUGAACCAUCGAGUCUUUGAACGCAAGUUGCNCCCGAAGCCUUCGGGCCGAGGGCACGUCUGCCUGGGUGUCAUGC